CAGUAGCCGCGGGAAUACAGAGGGUGCGAGCGUUAAUCGGAUUUACUGGGCGUAAAGCGUGCGUAGGCGGCUUCUUAAGUCGGAUGUGAAAUCCCCGGGCUCAACCUGGGAACUGCAUCCAAAACUGGCAAGCUAGAGUAUGGUAGAGGGUGGUGGAAUUUCCUGUGUAGCGGUGAAAUGCGUAGAUAUAGGAAGGAACACCAGUGGCGAAGGCGACCACCUGGACUGAUACUGACACUGAGGUGCGAAAGCGUGGGGAGCAAACAGGAUUAGAUACCCCUGUAGUCCCUGUCUCUUAUAC
rnacentral:rRNA from 1 species